AGGAAAAUUAAUACUACUUGUCGUCGUCGUCGCCGUUGUGCUCAUUUAUGGAGUGAACCGAAGGAGGGGCGAAUCCAACCGGUGGUGCUUUAGAAGCCCAAGAAAAUCCCCAUUUCUGGGACUCCCGCUCCGACCAACUGCUCCCCGAAGAUCCUUUUGUCACAGGUGCUUAUUUGAAGCAAGACAUCAUAAUUAAACUUAGCUGCUUCUGCUUGCUGAGGUUCGAUGGGCUGUAUGUCUUCUAAGCAUGAAGCCAAACACACACCAGGGUAUGAAGAUCCCGUUAUACUUGCUUCUGAAACGGCUUUCACUGUAAUUGAAGUAGAAACACUCUAUGAGCUAUUUAAAAAGUUGAGCUGUUCAAUAAUCAAAGAUUGGCUUAUCCACAAGGAAGAAUUCCAGCUUGCUUUGUUCAGGAACAGCAACAGGAAGAAUCUCUUUGCUGACAGGGUGUUUGAUUUGUUUGACAUAAAAAACAAUGGGGUUAUUGAGUUUGGAGAAUUUGUUUGAUCACUUAGCAUCUUUCACCCAAAUGCUCCCAAAGCAGAGAAAAUUGCAUUUGCAUUUAAAUUGUAUGAUUUACGGCAAAUGGGCUACAUAGGACGUGAGGAGUUGAAAGAGAUGGUAUUGGCUCUUCUCAAUGAAUCUGAUGUGGUUCUUUCAGAUGAUAUUGUCCAGACAAUCGUGGAUACUACUUUCGUUCAGGCCGAUUUAAAUGGCGAUGGGAAGAUAGAUCUAGAUGAAUGGAGGGAAUUUGUUAAAAAAAAUCCAUCAUUGAUCAGAAAUAUGACACUUCCAUACUUGAAGGACAUUACCAUGUCCUUUCCGAGCUUUGUCGUGCACUCAGAAGUCAGUGAUGAUCCAGACAUGACUUAAUAUGAUAACAUCCACUGCCACAAAGGUUCCAAUCCAGACCACUGCAUAUCAAAUGUAGAUCCUGAUCAGAAACUGCUUCAAGAGGUGGCUUCUGUGUUAGAUGAUGAUGCUGCUAUCUGCAAACCACCUCCUGCCAAAGUAAUGCUGAACCUUGUGCAUUUACAGAGCCUUGGGAGCUAAUGUUUGUUAAUAUUCAUGUAUCUUCUUAACUUGUGGGUAUCUCCUAGAGUCCAAUAUUAGCUUCAUGAACUCUGGCCUCUUGUCAUGUGCAUACUAAGUGUUGCUUAAUAGUGAGUGAUUGUUUGUUCAUUGCGAAUAAAAAAUAUUUGUUCAAAGUUAUUUAAUAUUAUUAGUGUUGUGAUCGCCGAUUAGGUGAUGGAA